rnacentral:lncRNA from 1 species
UCCUCGGAGCGCCGCGCUAGCCAGGGGCCGGGCAGAAGGGCCUAGGCCUGGGUGACCCGCCGCGCGGCCGGGAGCCUGGCUGCUCCCAGGUCCCGGUCAACCUCCGCGCCGCCCUGGAGCCCCAGCGCUCCGAGGAGCUUCUCCUGGGACUCCUCUCAGCCUCGGCGACCCACACCUUGCUGUCCCCUAACCCUGGCCGGGAUCAAUAAAAAAAAAAAGGGCGAGGGAAGAACCUCAAGUCUAUGAAUUUACAGCAAACCCGGGGUGGGGGGGACGACUAGAAAUCCUCCCGAUUUUGUUGUCCAGAGGAUAAACCACCGAGUUCCCAGGGCGCAAAUUCAAAAGCAAGGUCACAUUCCACCCUGAACAGGCACUGCGAGCGCGUGGCCAGGCCUGGAGCAACUUCAGUCCUGGACUCUGAAACCUUGAAAUUGCAGCGCUUAAGUACUGGGGGACAAGCGAGAAGCUCCUUCCUAAAACCCUGUGUCCUAGGAGCGAGGUGCGGUCACAGAACCUCUGGGCUCAUUGGAUAAUUAGUAACUAGCUGUCAAAGCGUAGGCCGGUCGGUGAGCACCCGGAGGAUCCCGGCCGCCGGGGCGAGAAGGUCCGGUUGCCCGAAUUCCCCCGGGGACGCCUAGGUGUCGGCGGCAAGCCUAGGUGCGGGGAUUUUUCCACUGGCCUGAAAGAAGAAACUGCGCUUCUGGGGUUCAGAUGAGAGCGGGAGAAAAUCGAAGUGCUCUUGGAAAAAGAUGGAGGAGGAUGCGAAAAGUACAGAACUUCCAAGGCGUGCACAGUUCCAGGACCCUCGCAGCACACGCCCACGGCCUGAGACACGUUGUGCAACUGCAAGGUCACUGCUCUAGUGCAUGCCAAGCGGAGAAGGCACCGACAAAAUCACUGAAGGAAAGAGGUUUUCCCCACCCAGACCUGGCCGGGAAGGAAGCCCUGGGCCCCUCAGCACUGCAAGAGUUUCUACCGCAACUCCCCUGGGGCGCCGAGGGGGAGGAAGGAGGCACCCAACUCACCCAAACCUACAGGCUGGGACCUGACUUGCAGAACCGGGGAAGGGGCUCCUGAGGGUCCAGCAUUCACUGACUCCUGGGGCAGAGGACACUUGCCUUGGACCCACAGUUUCCUUAUCUGUGAAAAAAGCUCCUGAUAGGUGCAGGGCAGCAGAGUUGUAUACAUUCAAUAAGACCACCUCGUUCUAAAAAUAGUGUGCACACUUUCCAGUCUGGGAAGGCAGUAGGCCAGUGAAACUCUAGCACUUCUGGAAGCUUAGAGUUCUAAGAAUUGGGGAGAGCUACAGUGGGGAUGGGAAGGACUGAGCAAUUAGGGACAAAAAUUAAGCAUCAGCAGNNNNNNNNNNNNNNNNNNNNNNNNCAGCAGGAAAAUUGCAAAGGAGCUUCCAAAUAUAUUCUCCUUUCUCUCCCACCUUCAAAGAUAAUUAGGAGAAACUUGAAUUUAAGCUAGGGAUAAGAGAGGAAUUUUAGCACGGAUGAGGAAGGGUCCAGCAACCUUCCAAACAGGUACAGAAUCAAACAUCCUGAGUGUAUGAAAGCUGAUGAUGUGGUUGAUCCAACUCAGGGUGUUAAGGGGGUGAGGAUGCCUUUUUAAAAUACAAAGUGGACAACAGAUGCCUGGGCCACCUGUCUUGGGAGCCAGGAAGAAAAGAGGUAGUCGUGUGCAUAGACCCCUGGGGAAGGUUUACACCUAUCUCAGUCCCUCUUCCCUGAGAAAGGGGUAAUAAGUCCACAGGAAUGAGGGCCCUUCAUUCCACCUCGUUUUCUAGCUUAUUGUGACAUAUAGCAGAUGCUUGUCUACUGUAAUGUUCUCUGUCUCCCCAGCUCCUCUCAGGCAGGAUGACAUGUUCAGAGUAAAUGUCCUUGGAGGACAAUCUCUCUCUCUCUCUCUCUCUCUCUCUCUCUCUCUCUCUCUCUCUCUCUCUCAUUAUAGAAGCAUCAAGUGUAAUGUAGAUGAGUUUCUUCCCCCACCCUCUUUCUCUUUUUUGUGGUACCAGGGAUCGAACUCAGGACCUUGCACUUUCGAGCCAGGCAGCAUCGGCACCACUGAGCUAAAUCCUGGGCCAAUCAGUUUCUCUUUUAACAACACAGCUUUGUUUUGUAGUUCUAACUACUGAGUAACCCCUUGGACUUCCAAGCCUCCUUUUCUCUCAAAAUUCAGGGACCGACAAUCCCAUUCUUCCCAAAACCUCAGCCACCCAAAUAAAGGUACAGAAAUUACACACAGAAUACAGUUGACAAUUCCUAUGAGUGUCCAGUUAUGUCUUCCAAGUAAUCUUGCCAUUCAUAUUCAGAAACUUCCUGUAAUCCCCUUCCCCAUACCUACCUUGUGUUUGUCACUCGGUGCUAUAGUAGGUGGUCAUCAAGUAGUCACAAUGACUGUGAACAGAUUCAGUAUCUACCCUAAAGAUAUCUUAAAAAGAAUAAGUAACUAACAGUGCAUCCUUUAGGGUGUAGGUCUUGGAUAUUAGCAUCUAAAUGAGUUAAUUCUUGAAACUCCUCAGUGAAACCUCCUUCUCCAAUAGAGGAAGACUUAGUAUGUCUGCAAUAAUCUUUGCUUACACUACACAUGGGAUAAACUGAGGAUAGAUUGAGGUAGUAGCCUCAUGUUAAAGAUGGGAAAAUAAGCGGGGCACUGUAGUUAGGGAGGCUGAGGCAGGAAAAUCAUUCUGGACAACUUAACAACACUCUGUCUCAAAAUAAAAUGAAAAGUGCUAGGAAUGUAGCUCAGUGGUAGAAUGUUUGCCUAGCAUGCAUGGAGAGUCCACAGAGAGGUUGCUUGUAGCCACUGGAGUAAGUUAAUGGGAGUGCUAUUUGGAGCCGGGCUUUAGGAUGAAAGAGGAGGGUCCCUAGCUUUCAUUGUGCUGGGAGGUGAGAGUUGAAAGGGAGAUUCUUUGGGGGCAGGGGGAGAAUACACAGUUGAAAACAGAGGGCAGGCUGGCUUUGGAGUCAAGCAGACCUAAAUGUGCUAAAGGAUAAUGAUGGUGUAUUGUGUUUUUGUGAAAAUCAAAUGCAUUAGCAAUUGCAAGUUCCUGGAGUAUGGCAGGCUCUUAUAUAUUUAGAAAAAAAAAGACACCAUGAAAUCAUGCUGCGUAGUGAGGCAACUAACUCAUCUCUUUGGGCUUUUAUAUUCCCAAGUUGUUUUCAAGAGUUACUGAAUUUGAAGAGACAGUAUUAGGCACUUCUACCAAUGAAUUUGGAGUCAGAUUCCAAGAUUUUCUAAGGGAGAUGUGGUCCCCGGUAUGAAAUCAUUUGAAAUCCAUUUGGCAUAUCACUUUAUGAAGGUUUUCCAAGCAUCAUGUUGGUAAUUUUACCAAAUGGUGAACUCACUUCCUCUGUAAUUUAUUUUCUUCAGUUGCUUACACAGUCUCCCCUCCUACCACCGUUACCACUUUCCAUGUUUAACUUUCUUUGUUUACAGAAGGGAGACCCUGCCUGGUCUUUCCAACCUCGGCUGUUCCACUCUCUAAGGCUUCCCAUCGAUUUGGCAGUGACUAGCAGGGCUCCAAGUGCAAUUAUCUCUAGAAUAAAACAUAAAUAUCAUUCUAUUCUGGUCUGAAGGUGAUUGGAGAGCUUACUGAUAGGAAAAAGUGUUGAAACCCAUAGAAUAUUCUAGACUCCAAGGUCAGGAGCCUGAGAUUCUAAUUCUGGCUAUAAUACUCCUUUCUGGAUGAUUCUUCACCUACCAAAGGCUUUGGUGAGCACCUCCUCCGGGCCUCUGAUUUUGGUUUUGCAAAAUGACCAGUUGGUUUGGACAAGCAUUUAAGGCCUCGAACUUUCCUAUUAUUUGAAAUGACUAAAAGGUCUUAAAUUACUGGGGUUCCCACUUCCAGGUCUUUGGCCAGAUGGUCCAAGAGCUCAGGACAAAUCUCUGAGUAGUGGUGGACAUGAGAUAUUUGACUAGCCCAUGAAAAAAUACACUACAGACUGUAAAGGUGCACAAGGGCUAGGGACCUUCUCAUGUCUUGCUCUACAGUGCCCGGAGUGGUGCUGAUAUACAGUAGAUGCUUAACAAAAUACUUGUUGAAUAAAUGAAGAAGUGAAUACUCUGGAUUAUACUGUUAAGGAUGAUUUUUUUGUUUCCUUAUUUAUACUUGUCAGAUUUUCUCAAUUGUCAGCAGUGAAAUUCUAGUCUAAAAAUAAUAUUUUUCCCCAGACACAAAAGGAUAUGUACCAUGUGAUCGCAUUCAUAGGAAUUUUAAAAGAAGGAAGAGUAAUCUACAGUGGUAGAAGUUUCUGGAGUGCUAGAAAGGUUCUUAGUUUUAAUCAGGAUGGGGGAUAUGUCGAGUCUUUACAUGUAGGAUUUGUGGAUAUUGCUGCAUGUAAGCUAUAACUUAGUAAAAGUAAUUUUAAAACAAGUCCAAAGUAUAAAAUGUAAGCAGCAGAAGUCACCUUCUCACACCUUCAACUGUUUACAGUUAAUACAUGGCCCUCCAGAAUCUUUUCUAUUCACCACAUAUAAUUGAUUGCCGUUAAAAUCUAUGCACUAGUAUAUCCCAGGAACCAGCAAACUUUUUUCUGUAAAGGGGCUAGAUAAUAAAUAUUUUAGGCUUUGUGGGCCAGAAAAUCUCUGUGCCAACUAUUCACUUUGCUAUUGUAGACAAUACAAAAAUGUGUGUGGCUGUAUUCCAAUAAAACUUUAUGGAUAAAAACAUUUGGCUGGCUGGAUUUGGUCCAGUUUGUCAACCUUGGAUGAAACACGUAUCCAGGUCAAAAUCUGAAGAUCCAAAUGAGACCUUAGAAGUCAUCUGACUUCUCUUUUGGGAUGAGGAAGCAGAUUCUUCAUUUUGGGAGGAAAAUGACCUUCCCAAGAGAUAUAACACAGGGGACUAGGGAAAUCCUGGCUUUGGAAUCAGGAAUAGCAGUAACUUUCUGAGGAUAUGGAGUUUGACUUUGGACAAUUACCUCAUUUUUUUAAGCCUUUAUAUUAUGAACAUAUGUAAAUGUUGAUAACAAUGGGCCUUAUGCCACAUAGGUUUGUUGAGAGAGUUAAAUGAAUUAAUACAGAAAAGCACUUUGCAUGGUGUCAACACAAGCUGGGAACAAAUUAAGUUCUUGCUAAUCAUAGCACAUGGGUUAAGGGUCCCCUCCUUUCUGCUCCGCCAUUCUUUAAUGCAUAGCUUGUGGGGUAAGUUUAUUACCAAAGCUCCCAAAUGUUCACUCUGUCUGAAGCCCUUUGGGAAGCUCUGUGAGAGAAUAACAAAUGGAUACAGGAAGAUAGCAAAUCCCACUCAUUUCAGCCAUUGGCUUCCUUUCUAGAAAUCCCUUCCAGCUCUGAGCCUUUAUUUCCCCAACAUGCUGCUAUUAAAUGGCCUUUGCCAGGGAAACUCCUAAAGGUAAAGAAGAUUCCUUUCCUUUUGAUCCAAUAACCCACAUCCUUCUGCUGGGUCAUAUUUAACAUAGGGUGUUUCCAGUAGCUUGUAAAAGAUUAAAUUAAAAAUGAAUGAAUGAUCUAGUAUGAUAUUAAACUAAUAAAUACUACACCUAGCAUGGAAGCCUUCGUUCCAGAACAAUACCUCCUGCUUUUCCUUCCUUUGCAACACCCAUGAAAAGUGGGUAGUGGGCCCUGUGCACAGUAGGUGAUCCAAGAAUGUUUAUUGAAUAAAUGGUAAGCUCAGGGUAAGUAGGUAUUACAUGAAUGUCUACUAAAUAAACGAUAUGGGCUAGGUUAUACAUCUUAGGGAAAAAAAGAAAUAAUGUUUCCUAAAAUUUCUUGCAAUCUGUUUUCAGAUUAAUAUUAAAAUAAGCAUUAUUGUCACACCCAAUAAUUGCAUGCUUCCUUCUUUUCCUCUUCACAAACCCAUAAGGCAGGCCCUAUCAUCCUCACUUUAAUGGUGAGGAAAUGGAAGUUC